CUGCCGGCAGGCCUUGGCCGAGGAGGGGGUGGGGGGCUGAACGAGACAAUGCCAGGGAGAGGCCCCUGCAAAUCCGGGAAUGGCAGAUAAACCAAGUGUGGAGAGGAAAGAGAAAGGAGAGUGGAAAGAUCCUUGAGGAUAAAACAGUUGGAAGGAGCAAUGAUUUAUCUUUCCAUAGGGGUAAAUGGGGAGAAGGAGAGAGUAAAUUAAGAAGAGAGGCUGGGAAGAAUUUACAGAAAAGCACCUUCCUUGGCGUGCUUGGGGAACUACGUUAAGAGUUGAUUCCUUUUACAUGACCCAUUGACUUCCCACGGAAUUCUGAGCUGCCCAAGUCACACCUCCAUCCAGAUGUGAGGAGGAGAACGAGUCCCGGGUUCCAAUCUCCGCUGCCCAGUCAGUACUCAGCAGAGGGCGGGGUGGAGAUGGACCGGCCUUCGGUUAUUCCUUGUAGACUUGUUUAAAGGGAAAAAAAAAAAUCAGAACUGGUACUUUUACUAUUUUGUCCUCUUUUGGGUGGGGGAGGAAAAAGGAGGUGGGAUAAGCAGUUAAUUAAAAGGGAGUACUUU